CCAGACUCCUACGGGAGGCAGCAGUAGGGAAUCUUCGGCAAUGGACGGAAGUCUGACCGAGCAACGCCGCGUGAGUGAAGAAGGUUUUCGGAUCGUAAAGCUCUGUUGUAAGAGAAGAACGAGUGUGAGAGUGGAAAGUUCACACUGUGACGGUAUCUUACCAGAAAGGGACGGCUAACUACGUGCCAGCAGCCGCGGUAAUACGUAGGUCCCGAGCGUUGUCCGGAUUUAUUGGGCGUAAAGCGAGCGCAGGCGGUUAGAUAAGUCUGAAGUUAAAGGCUGUGGCUUAACCAUAGUACGCUUUGGAAACUGUUUAACUUGAGUGCAAGAGGGGAGAGUGGAAUUCCAUGUGUAGCGGUGAAAUGCGUAGAUAUAUGGAGGAACACCGGUGGCGAAAGCGGCUCUCUGGCUUGUAACUGACGCUGAGGCUCGAAAGCGUGGGGAGCAAACAGGAUUAGAUACCCUGGUAGUCCACGCCGUAAACGAUGAGUGCUAGGUGUUAGACCCUUUCCGGGGUUUAGUGCCGCAGCUAACGCAUUAAGCACUCCGCCUGGGGAGUACGACCGCAAGGUUGAAACUCAAAGGAAUUGACGGGGGCCCCGCACAAG
rnacentral:rRNA from 1 species